UACGGGGGAGGCAAGCGUUGUUCGGAAUUACUGGGCGUAAAGGGCGCGUAGGCGGCCUGUUAAGUCGGACGUGAAAUCCCUCGGCUCAACCGGGGAACUGCGUCCGAUACUGGCGGGCUUGAAUUCGGGAGAGGGAUGUGGAAUUCCAGGUGUAGCGGUGAAAUGCGUAGAUAUCGGGAGGAACACCAGUGGCGAAGGCGACUACCUGGCCCAUUCUUGACGCUGAGGCGGCGAAAGCUAGGGGAGCGAACGGG
rnacentral:rRNA from 1 species